rnacentral:rRNA from 1 species
UCCGUAGGUGAACCUGCGGAAGGAUCAUUAUCGAGUUUUGACCGGGUUGUAGCUGGCCUUCCGAGGCAUGUGCACGCCCUGCUCAUCCACUCUACACCUGUGUACUUACUGUGGGCUUCAGAUUGCGAGGCACGCUCUUUACCGGGCUUGCGGAGCAUAUCUGUGCCUGCGUUUAUCACAAACUCUAUAAAGUAACAGAAUGUGUAUUGUGAUGUAACACAUCUAUAUACAACUUUCAGCAACGGAUCUCUUGGCUCUCGCAUCGAUGAAGAACGCAGCGAAAUGCGAUAAGUAAUGUGAAUUGCAGAAUUCAGUGAAUCAUCGAAUCUUUGAACGCACCUUGCGCUCCUUGGUAUUCCGAGGAGCAUGCCUGUUUGAGUGUCAUGAAAUCUUCAACCUACAAGCUUUUGUGGUUUGUAGGCUUGGACUUGGAGGCUUGUCGGCCGUUAUCGGUCGGCUCCUCUUAAAUGCAUUAGCUUGGUUCCUUGCGGAUCGGCUCUCGGUGUGAUAAUGUCUACGCCGCGACCGUGAAGCGUUUGGCGAGCUUCUAACCGUCUUAUAAGACAGCUUUAUGACCUCUGACCUCAAAUCAGGUAGGACUACCCGCUGAACUUAAGCAUAUCAAUAAGCGGAGGA